AGAGCGAACGCUGGCGGCAUGCUUAACACAUGCAAGUCUCACGGGCAGCAAUGUCAGUGGCGGACGGGUGAGUAACGCGUAGGUAUCUAUCCUUGGGUGGGGGAUAACGUUGGGAAACUGACGCUAAUACCGCAUGACACCUGUGGGUCAAAGGCGCGAGUCGCCUGGGGAGGAGCCUGCGUACGAUUAGCUUGUUGGUGGGGUAAAGGCCUACCAAGGCUACGAUCGUUAGCUGGUCUGAGAGGAUGAUCAGCCACACUGGGACUGAGACACGGCCCAGACUCCUACGGGAGGCAGCAGUGGGGAAUAUUGGACAAUGGGCGAAAGCCUGAUCCAGCAAUGCCGCGUGUGUGAAGAAGGUCUUCGGAUUGUAAAGCACGUUUCGGCGGGGACGAUGAUGACGGUACCCGCAGAAGAAGCCCGGCUAACUUCGCGCCAGCAGCCGC
rnacentral:rRNA from 1 species